UACGUAGGGGGGCAAGCGUUGUCCGGAAUCAUUGGGCGUAAAGCGCGUGUAGGCGGCUCGGGUAGUCUGGUGUGAAAUCUUUCGGCUCAACCGGAAGCGGUCACUGGAUACUCUCGGGCUUGAGUCCGGAAGAGGAGAGUGGAAUUCCUGGUGUAGCGGUGGAAUGCGCAGAUAUCAGGAGGAACACCAAUGGCGAAGGCAGCUCUCUGGGACGUGACUGACGCUAAGACGCGAAAGCGUGGGGAGCGAACAGG
rnacentral:rRNA from 1 species